UGCACGGUGGCUUAGUGGUUAGCACAUUUGGCUCACACCUUCAGGGUCUGACGUUCGAGUCCUGCCGGGCCA